ACACCGGCAGCUCAAGUGGUAGCCGCUUUUAUUGGGCCUAAAGCGUCCGUAGCCGGUCUGAUAAGUCUCUGGUGAAAUCCCACAGCUUAACUGUGGGAAUUGCUGGAGAUACUAUCAUGACUCGAGGUCGGGAGAGGCUGGAGGUACUCCCAGGGUAGGGGUGAAAUCCUGUAAUCCUGGGAGGACCCCCUGUGGCGAAGGCGUCCAGCUGGAACGAACCUGACGGUGAGGGACGAAAGCCAGGGGCGCGAACCGGAUUAGAUUCCCGGGUAGUCCUGGCCGUAAACGAUGUGGACUUGGUGUUGGGAUGGCUUCGAGCUGCCCCAGUGCCGAAGGGAAGCUGUUAAGUCCACCGCCUGGGAAGUACGGCCGCAAGGCUGAAACUUAAAGGAAUUGACGGGG
rnacentral:rRNA from 1 species